rnacentral:rRNA from 1 species
CUCUUAAUGGGGUGACUGCGUACCUUUUGUAUAAUGGGUCAGCGACUUAUAUUCUGUAGCAAGGUUAACCGAAUAGGGGAGCCGAAGGGAAACCGAGUCUUAACUGGGCGUUAAGUUGCAGGGUAUAGACCCGAAACCCGGUGAUCUAGCCAUGGGCAGGUUGAAGGUUGGGUAACACUAACUGGAGGACCGAACCGACUAAUGUUGAAAAAUUAGCGGAUGACUUGUGGCUGGGGGUGAAAGGCCAAUCAAACCGGGAGAUAGCUGGUUCUCCCCGAAAGCUAUUUAGGUAGCGCCUCGUGAAUUCAUCUCCGGGGGUAGAGCACUGUUUCGGCAAGGGGGUCAUCCCGACUUACCAACCCGAUGCAAACUGCGAAUACCGGAGAAUGUUAUCACGGGAGACACACGGCGGGUGCUAACGUCCGUCGUGAAGAGGGAAACAACCCAGACCGCCAGCUAAGGUCCCAAAGUCAUGGUUAAGUGGGAAACGAUGUGGGAAGGCCCAGACAGCCAGGAUGUUGGCUUAGAAGCAGCCAUCAUUUAAAGAAAGCGUAAUAGCUCACUGGUCGAGUCGGCCUGCGCGGAAGAUGUAACGGGGCUAAACCAUGCACCGAAGCUGCGGCAGCGACACUAUGUGUUGUUGGGUAGGGGAGCG